rnacentral:rRNA from 1 species
GGCGUAGGCGGAUCAAUAAGUCAGUGGUGAAAUCUCUCGGCUCAACCGGGAAACUGCCAUUGAUACUGUUGAUCUUGAGUUCGGUUGAGGUAGGCGGAAUGUGUAAUGUAGCGGUGAAAUGCUUAGAUAUUACACAGAACACGAAUUGCGUAGGCAGCUUACUAGACCGACACUGACGCUGAGGCACGAAAGCGUGGGGAGCGAACAGGAUUAGAUACCCUGGUAGUCC